ACCACACUUUGUCCUGGACCUGCACUUGUGCUUCCCUUAUAAAAAGUCUCGCCUCUGCAUUCAUUAAUUCACAUACACAAAGUAGGUUGGUAGAGAUUUGUUUAGCAGAUCUGAAAUGGGAGAUGAGUUUAUCAGGAAAACUAUGGGGAUUGGUGGGUUGGAAAGCUUUUCCCUUCUGAUUGAUUAAACGCUUUCCAAUUCCACCCAUUCCUAUGGUUUUUCAGUAAUCUCUCCCUUUUCUCAUGCUUUGGUUUUCUCACUUCAGAGAUCAUACAGAUGAACUUUGAAUGGAACAGAUAUUGUCAUUUUCUGGCCCUUCAACUGUGAUGAUGUACAUUCCUGUAUUUCGGUCUCUCAAACAAACACAUCUAAAUUGAUUGGGAAUGUUGUAGAAAAAUCUUUGGUUUUCCUUACAAUAUCGUUAUCUCGCGAUCACUUUGUUAGGCUCUUUAUUUACUAAAGGUUAAUAGUAUUAGUACUCCAUUUUAA